rnacentral:sRNA from 1 species
AAUUAGCACGAUGAUGCCAGCCCCAUA